UACGGAGGGUGCUAGCGUUGUUCGGAAUUACUGGGCGUAAAGGGCGCGUAGGCGGCCGUUUGCGUCGGAUGUGAAAGCCCGGGGCUCAACCUUGGAACGGCAUUCGAUACGGGACGGCUGGAGACCGGGAGAGGAGAGUGGAAUAGCCAGUGUAGAGGUGAAAUUCGUAGAUAUUGGCUGGAACACCGGUGGCGAAAGCGGCUCUCUGGCCCGGUUCUGACGCUGAGGCGCGAAAGCGUGGGGAGCAAACAGG
rnacentral:rRNA from 1 species